rnacentral:rRNA from 1 species
UACAUGCAAGUCGAGCGGACCGACGGGAGCUUGCUCCCUUAGGUCAGCGGCGGACGGGUGAGUAACACGUGGGUAACCUGCCUGUAAGACUGGGAUAACUCCGGGAAACCGGGGCUAAUACCGGAUGCUUGAUUGAACCGCAUGGUUCAAUCAUAAAAGGUGGCUUUUAGCUACCACUUACAGAUGGACCCGCGGCGCAUUAGCUAGUUGGUGAGGUAACGGCUCACCAAGGCGACGAUGCGUAGCCGACCUGAGAGGGUGAUCGGCCACACUGGGACUGAGACACGGCCCAGACUCCUACGGGAGGCAGCAGUAGGGAAUCUUCCGCAAUGGACGAAAGUCUGACGGAGCAACGCCGCGUGAGUGAUGAAGGUUUUCGGAUCGUAAAACUCUGUUGUUAGGGAAGAACAAGUACCGUUCGAAUAGGGCGGCACCUUGACGGUACCUAACCAGAAAGCCACGGCUAACUACGUGCCAGCAGCCGCGGUAAUACGUAGGUGGCAAGCGUUGUCCGGAAUUAUUGGGCGUAAAGCGCGCGCAGGCGGUUUCUUAAGUCUGAUGUGAAAGCCCCCGGCUCAACCGGGGAGGGUCAUUGGAAACUGGGGAACUUGAGUGCAGAAGAGGAGAGUGGAAUUCCACGUGUAGCGGUGAAAUGCGUAGAGAUGUGGAGGAACACCAGUGGCGAAGGCGACUCUCUGGUCUGUAA